GAAACGACUGCUAAGACUGGAUAGGAGACAAGAAGGCAUCUUCUUGUUUUUAAAAGACCUAGCAAUAGGUAUGCUUAGGGAGGAGCUUGCGUCACAUUAGUUAGUUGGUGGGGUAAAGGCCUACCAAGACUAUGAUGUGUAGCCGGGCUGAGAGGUUGAACGGCCACAUUGGGACUGAGACACGGCCCAAACUCCUACGGGAGGCAGCAGUAGGGAAUUUUCGGCAAUGGAGGAAACUCUGACCGAGCAACGCCGCGUGAACGAUGAAGUAUUUCGGUACGUAAAGUUCUUUUAUUAGCGAAGAAUAAAUGAUGGAAAAAUCAUUCUGACGGUACCUAAUGAAUAAGCGCCGGCUAACUAUGUGCCAGCAGCCGCGGUAUUACAUAGGGGGCAAGCGUUAUCCGGAAUUAUUGGGCGUAAAGGGUGCGUAGGCGGUUAAAUAAGUAAAUGGUCUAAGUGCAAUGCUCAACAUUGUGAUGCUAUAAAAACUGUUUAGCUAGAGUAAGAUAGAGGCAAGUGGAAUUCCAUGUGUAGUGGUAAAAUGCGUAAAUAUAUGGAGGAACACCAGUAGCGAAGGCGGCUUGCUGGGUCUUUACUGACGCUGAGGCACGAAAGCGUGGGGAGCAAACAGGAUUAGAUACCCUGGUAGUCCACGCCGUAAACGAUGAGUACUAAACGUUGGGUAAAACCAGUGUUGAAGUUUUCACAUUAAGUACUCCGCCUGAGUAGUACGUACGCAAGUAUGAAAGUUAAAGGAAUUGACGGGACUCCGCACAAGCGGUGGAUCAUGUUGUUUAAUUCGAAGGUACCCGAAAAACCUCACCAGGUCUUGACAUGCUUCUGCAAAGCUGUAGAAACACAGUGGAGGUUAUCAGUUGCACAGGUGGUGCAUGGUUGUCGUCAGCUCGUGUCGUGAGAUGUUGGGUUAAGUCCCGCAACGAGCGCAACCCUUAUUGUUAGUUACCAGCACGUAAUGGUGGGGACUUUAGCAAGACUGCCAGUGAUAAAUUGGAGGAAGGUGGGGACGACGUCAAAUCAUCAUGCCCCUUAUGACCUGGGCUACAAACGUGAUACAAUGGCUGUUACAAAGGGUAGCUGAAGCGCAAGUUUUUGGCGAAUCUCAAAAAAACAGUCUCAGUUCGGAUUGAAGUCUGCAACUCGACUUCAUGAAGUUGGAAUCGCUAGUAAUCGCGAAUCAGCAUGUCGCGGUGAAUACGUUGACGGGGUUUGUACACACCGCCCGUCA
rnacentral:rRNA from 1 species